CCUACGGGCGGCAGCAGUGAGGAAUAUUGGUCAAUGGACGAGAGUCUGAACCAGCCAAGUAGCGUGAAGGAUGACUGCCCUAUGGGUUGUAAACUUCUUUUAUAAAGGAAUAAAACGAGGCACGUGUGCCUUUUUGCAUGUACUUUAUGAAUAAGGAUCGGCUAACUCCGUGCCAGCAGCCGCGGUAAUACGGUGGAUCCGAGCGUUAUCCGGAUUUAUUGGGUUUAAAGGGAGCGUAGAUGGGUUGGUAAGUCAGUUGUGAAAGUUUGCGGCUCAACCGUAAAAUUGCAAUUGAUACUGGCAGUCGUGAGUACAGUUGAGGUAGGCGGAAUUCGUGGUGUAGCGGUGAAAUGCUUAGAUAUCACGAAGAACCCCGAUUGCGAAGGCAGCUUACUAAACUGUGACUGACAUUGAUGCUCGAAAGUGUGGGUAUCAAACAGGAUUAGAUACCCUGGUAGUC
rnacentral:rRNA from 1 species